rnacentral:misc_RNA from 1 species
AUUUUUUGUAGGGAUCAAAUUGGUAAAAGUGAGAGCGUCCAUUUUAACAUUACCUUUCUCAAACGAGAGAAGAAGAAAAAAAACUCAUUCUCAUGACUUGAGUGCAAUAAUCAACUCAAAUCACAUUUUCAUACUCUUCACAAUACCAAUUAUUUUAAUAGAACUCCAAGAACAUCAUAUACGAUAAUUCGUUCACACCUCUUUGUCUUA